UGGGGAAUAUUGGCACAAUGGGCGCAAGCCUGAUGCAGCAACGCCGCGUGAGGGAUGACGGCCUUCGGGCUUGUAAAACCUCUUUUAGUAGGGAAGAAGCGAAAGUGACGGUACCUGCAGAAAAAGCACCGGCUAACUACGUGCCAGCAGCCGCGGUAAUACGUAGGGUGCGAGCGUUGUCCGGAAUUAUUGGGCGUAAAGAGCUCGUAGGCGGUCUGUCGCGUCUGCUGUGAAAACCCGAGGCUCAACCUCGGGCCUGCAGUGGGUACGGGCAGACUAGAGUGCGGUAGGGGAGAAUGGAAUUCCUGGUGUAGCGGUGGAAUGCGCAGAUAUCAGGAGGAACACCGAUGGCGAAGGCAGUUCUCUGGGCCGUAACUGACGCUGAGGAGCGAAAGCGUGGGGAGCGAACAGGAUUAGAUACCCUGGUAGUCCACGCCGUAAACGUUGGGCGCUAGAUGUGGGGACCAUUCCACGGUUUCCGUGUCGCAGCUAACGCAUUAAGCGCCCCGCCUGGGGAGUACGGCCGCAAGGCUAAAACU
rnacentral:rRNA from 1 species